GCCAAUGUAACAGGUUAAGCGAAUCAAUCAAUCUGAAACUAGUGAGAAACAUAAUUGCGGAGAAGAUAUAUAAUGUUUUGUUGUAUAAUGUAAUAUAUUUACUACACAAAUGUUCUAGUCUUUGCUUGUAGGUAUGGUUGUUUUAAUGACGCAACGAAAGUUGAGAUAUUUUAGCAGCAGAUAAUCUUUAUUAUAAUUUUAUGCUUAUUUCUAGACAGAUAUUCAUGAAUGAAAAAUGGAAAUUUGACGCCAUAUUCGAUGAACGUUUCUCCUCAAUUCUGAAUCUAAUCUGAUUUAAUUUUUAGAUUUUGAACUUCAACAGAUUUCUGGGAAAAGAGCUGUUUUUGGUUUAAAAGUUCAUUGUUGGCAACAUGACAUACAGUUACUGGGAAUUUGCUUGUGGAAUCUGCUUGCUCUUCACUGCCAUUUGGACUCAAGUGCUUACGGUGUAUUACUUCGAGAUUUGCUCUGCCUUACUAUCGAAUAUGUGCCAUUUUCUGUCUCUGAUUGAGAUGAUAUUUGGUGUGCAAGCCAUGCUGAAAGGAUUACUCGGCGACCUGGACGAAGAGGGCAUCUUUCGCUUUGCCUGAAUCAUGGCAAAUUGCGAAACAUUCCCAGUUGAAAUACUUUUUGUGUGUGGCAGACGAAAAUUCAUCCUUGUUUGUUGACAUGUUUCCAUCCGUUUUAUUUAUCGCAUAUUGAU